rnacentral:lncRNA from 1 species
AUCUUCAUAUUCAUGGAUUUCCUUUAUUUUCAUCAUCUAUUUAAAACAGGAAAAAAGAUAAUUAGGGAUGCCUUAAGGAGAAAGAAAAACAGCACAGUCAAUUAAGGACCAGUCUAACCAUCUCAUCAUUGGCAAUUGCCAACUGUAAAGCAAAUCAGCUUUUUUAAAAAGAUGAAAGCAGACUAUGGACAUGAUAUUUAUAAUACUCAAGAGUGCAGUGGGCAGCAACGUGAGAUAAUUUCAUAUGAUUAUGAGUAAAUACUGACAACAUUUUUCUCCAGUGUCUCUUGUGGAAGCGUGUUUUGCCCUCUGUCUUGUCUUUCAUGUGCAGCCUUCAGCUUACAAACCCUUUGUUUUGGGCUUGAACUCCAGAAUUUUUAAAAUCCUUUUAGCUCCAUGUUGGUUUUUGAUCUCCCACGAGGUUGGUGCCACAUUUGUUGUAGUGCCCAAUGAGUCUGAGAGCAACAGGAGUGCUGUGGCA